UACGGGAGGCAGCAGUGGGGAAUAUUGCACAAUGGGCGAAAGCCUGAUGCAGCUAUGCCGCGUGUAUGAAGAAGGCCUUAGGGUUGUAAAGUACUUUCAUCGGGGAGGAAAAACAAAACUAAUAAUUUUAUUUCUUGACGUUACCCGAAAAAGAAGCACCGGCUAACUCCGUGCCAGCAGCCGCGGUAAUACGGAGGGUGCUAGCGUUAAUCAGAAUUACUGGGCGUAAAGAGCACGUAGGUGGUUAAUUAAGUUGGAUGUGAAAUCCCCGGGCUUAACCUGGGAAUGGCAUUCAAGACUGGUUAGCUAGAGUCUUGUAGAGGGGGUAGAAUUCCAUGUGUAGCGGUGAAAUGCGUAGAGAUGUGGAGGAAUACCGGUGGCGAAGGCGGCCCCUGGACAAAGACUGACGCUCAUGUGCGAAAGCGUGGGGAGCAAACAGGGAUUAGAUACC
rnacentral:rRNA from 1 species